rfam:Myotis davidii contig81826, whole genome shotgun sequence.
GGGGGUUCUCAGGUGAUGCACCCUGGAAUCGGGCUCCCUCCUCUCUGUUUCCUGGUGUGUCACCCAAGAACUGCA